UUUCUUAUAUCCAAACAUAUUAACCAAAGGUCAAAAUUUGGUUUAUGCAAUUAUGGGCAUGUCGAGGAUGCAAGAACAACUUUGCUCUCAUUCCAUACCUGGGAAACUUUCAAAUGUCUUUAAAGAAAAGGAUGCAAAACCCCAACUCGACCCAGAGAAAGUUAAGAGUAUAUGUGAGCAUCAUUUCGAUGCACAUGUUUAAGAUGCCCAAACAUUGAUUCAAAGAAGCCAUCAAUGCUGGCUGCUCUGGAAAAGAACAAGAACAAAGAUGUCCAACAUAUUAUUGGUCUAUUAGAGGAUUGUCACCCGAACUAGAAAAAGGAUAACAGUGGUGUUGAAAUUUAGACCAUUGUAAAAAAAAGAACAUUCCCGAAGUUGCUAUUAACUGGAUCUCUUGGUGACAUCCAUUCACUAGACCUUUUGGCUGAAGGCAUGGUAGCAAUAAAGUUUAAGCAGUUUUCCAUCUUAAAUG